UAAUACAGAGGUCUCAACCGUUGUUCGGAUUCAUUGGGCGUAAAGGGUGCGUAGGCGGUCGCGUAAGUCAGGUGUGAAAUCUCAGGGCUCAACCCUGAAACUGCACUUGAUACUGCGUGGCUCGGGUACUGGAGAGGAGACUGGAAUUUACGGUGUAGCAGUGAAAUGCGUAGAUAUCGUAAGGAAGACCAGUGGCGAAGGCGAGUCUCUGGACAGUUACCGACGCUGAGGCACGAAGGUCAGGGGAGCAAACGGGAUUAGAUACCCCGGUAGUCCUGACAGUAAACGGUGCACGUUUGGUGUAGGCGGAUUCGACCCCGUCUGUGCCGGAGCUAACGCGUUAAACGUGCCGCCUGGGAAGUACGGUCGCAAGAUUA
rnacentral:rRNA from 1 species